CCGUAGCGAUUCUGACGUGCAAAUCGAUCGUCAAACUUGGGUAUAGGGGCGAAAGACUAAUCGAACCAUCUAGUAGCUGGUUCCCUCCGAAGUUUCCCUCAGGAUAGCUGGCGCACUCUCGCAGUUUUAUCCGGUAAAGCGAAUGAUUAGAGGCCUUGGGGACGAAACGACCUCAACCUAUUCUCAAACUUUAAAUGGGUAAGAAGUCCGGCUCGCUCGAUCUGGAGCCGGGC
rnacentral:rRNA from 1 species